UCUAUUUCUGCUUGGGCCUUCUUUAGAACUUUCGGGUGGUUAAGCAGGAGUGAAAUUGCCCAUUCCAUAGGAUUCACUGACGACUCCGUUCCACCCAAUAGUUGAACCACCACAAGGGAUCUAAUCAUCUCGUCUUUGUAGAACUCUGGAUCCGUUUUUUGCAGCGACAACAAAAUAUCAAUCAUGUUUCCGCCUUGUGUUUCGUCGGAAUCAAAGCUCGCUAAUCUUUUUCGAUGUUCUUCAACCAUAUUCUGCAUAAAUCUUUCUCUCUUAAUCUGCAAAUCAGCCAACCUCUUUUCCGUUCUG
rnacentral:misc_RNA from 1 species